ensembl:lncRNA CLEC4OP C-type lectin domain family 4 member O, pseudogene
AGAGCAGAGUGAGCUGCGGUCAUGAUUGAAGGCAGGGAUGCUAGCAGCAAGGACCCCAAAGAAUUAUCAGCAUUGGGGCCCAAACUUCCCCCCAGGCUGGGGGAAACUGGACUUCCUGACAUCAACUAACCAGGCGACAUCCUGGAUAGGCCUCUUCAAAGAUGGCCAAGGAAGUGCCCACAGGUGGAUGGAUGGCUCAGCCCCCACCUACAUAAACUGGGACUCCAGGAAAUUGGAUGAUAAUGGAACCACCCCAGCCUGUGUGAUGAUGCUCUACCAGGGACACUGGAGCAACUCCUCUUGCAAAUCAGAGUCUCCUGUUUACAUCUGUGAGAAGAGGCAGAGCUGCUGACCUAGGCCCCUACCCCAUAAGAUUGGUGUAAACCUCUUGUUGUGCAUCCUCAACCUCCAUCCCUGCCCUCUCUGGGCUCUGAAUCCCCAGAGGCAACAAUAAAGGACGUUUCUCCAAA